rnacentral:rRNA from 1 species
GGUGAACGCUGGCGGCGUGCCUAAUACAUGCAAGUCGAGCGAACGGACGAGAAGCUUGCUUCUCUGAUGUUAGCGGCGGACGGGUGAGUAACACGUGGAUAACCUACCUAUAAGACUGGGAUAACUUCGGGAAACCGGAGCUAAUACCGGAUAAUAUUUUGAACCGCAUGGUUCAAAAGAGAAAGACGGUCUUGCUGUCACUUAUAGAUGGAUCCGCGCUGCAUUAGCUAGUUGGUAAGGUAACGGCUUACCAAGGCAACGAUGCAUAGCCGACCUGAGAGGGUGAUCGGCCACACUGGAACUGAGACACGGUCCAAACUCCUACGGGAGGCGGCAGUAGGGAAUCUUCCGCAAUGGGCGAAGGCCUGACGGAGCAACGCCGCGUGAGUGAUGAGGGUCUUCGGAUCGUAAAACUCUGUUAUUAGGGAAGAACAUAUGUGUAAGUAAAUGUGCACAUCUUGACGGUACCUAAUCAGAAAGCCACGGCUAACUACGUG